rnacentral:rRNA from 1 species
UACGUAGGGUCCGAGCGUUGUCCGGAGUUACUGGGCGUAAAGCGCGCGCAGGCGGCGGUGCUGGCCCGGCGUGAAAGCCCCCCGGCUCAACCGGGGGAGGGUCGUCGGGGACCGCACCGCUUGAGGGCGGUAGGGGGCUGGUGGAAUGCCUGGUGUAGUGGUGAAAUGCGUAGAGAUCAGGCGGAACACCCGUGGCGAAGGCGGCCAGCUGGGCCGUCCCUGACGCUGAGGCGCGAAGGCGUGGGGAGCGAACGGGG